rnacentral:lncRNA from 1 species
UAGGUUGUUCUAAGUGUGUUGCUCUAUGAGUUUUGUGGGAUCUUUGGAGUGUAAGAAAGCUAGGGUUUAGAAUUGAGGUUUUGGGAUUUAAGGGUUUUGAAACUAAUUGAUCUCCUAAUUCUCUAAUUGAAGGAUAGAGGAGAGCCCCAGACAACUCUAGAUUGCAGAUUGGUGAGCGUUCGGUGAUCGAUUGCGAGUUCGAGACGAACCGAGUAACGUGUGCCGUGGGAGUCCGAUUGCAAGUGUCGAUAAGCAAUCAGAGAGUAUUGUUAGGUGGGUUGUGCUCCACCGAAGUGAUUAGAUCACUUCCAUAUCAAAGUGAAGUAUGGGUGUAUUAUUGAUGCGUGUAAUGGUAGUUCAAUUGUGAAUUGUGAAUGCAUGAGAUAGAUGCUAAUUGUGAAUGCAUGAGAUAGAUGCUAAUUGUUAAUGGAUGAGAUAUAUUGACUACCAUUUGACAAGAACUUAGGCAUGAGCAAGCGUAUAGGAUGAAUGUAUGUGUAUGCCUAGAUGUGAAUGUUGAAUUGAGAUCGAUGAACUCUAGAAAGAGUAGAGAAUUCGAUAAGUGUGGCAUGAAU